rnacentral:rRNA from 1 species
GACGGAGGAUGCAAGCGUUAUCCGGAAUGAUUGGGCGUAAAGCGUCCGCAGGUGGCAGUUCAAGUCUGCUGUCAAAGACCGGGGCUCAACCUCGGAAAGGCAGUGGAAACUGAACAGCUAGAGUAUGGUAGGGGCAGAGGGAAUUCCUGGUGUAGCGGUGAAAUGCGUAGAGAUCAGGAAGAACAUCGGUGGCGAAGGCGGUUCUCUGGGCAUUACCUGACGCUGAGGAGCGAAAGUGUGGGGAGCGAACAGG